GCCCACUGUGCCCAGGCCCUGCUGCUGCCUGUCUCCUCCCUGGACAGCCAAGCCGGCUCCCCGGCACCUGGCAGCUGCCACCCUUCAAUGAUGACCAUGCUCCCAGGAAUUGCUGCCCACCCUGCACCCACUGUCCUCCCAGACUGGCCCUGUGGCCUCCAUUCCUCACAGAAGCUGCCUCCUCAAGGGCCGCAUUUGUCUACUGUGUGUCCUGGACCAUUGGAGCCCGUGGGGCACAGGGGGAUGGGAGUGGGACAGGGAGAAAGAGGACUUCUGGGCACUCUGCUCAAUGUCUCCAGGGCUCAUGGAGCCAUCAUUUGGACAUCACUAGGCACCUGCCAGGCAGCGCUGAGGGUGAGAUGCUCUUGGGGUCUCCAGAUGUGCCAGCCUGGUCAGCUUCUGUGGUGGCAGCUACAAGAUUCCUGUGCCUUGAAGUCCAAGUGGUUCAUCAGGAGCUUCCUGAGAAGCCGAGGCCAUCAGCCCCACUGCGGAGCUGGGAGCAUGCUGGCAGCUGAACUUCCUUCUCUCACUCAUUCAUCCCUGUGAUCAGGGCUUCUCACAGCAGCACGAGCCAGUCACGCGCAGUCUUGGUGAGAUUCUGCUGUGGUAGCUUCCUCCUCAGAUGCUGCUCCCCCUUCCCCACUCCCUUGACAAGGGCCCCUGCCAAAGGGAGGCCCUCAGUAGAGCCUUGGAUGGAAGGUGGGGCCCAAGGGUGAGGCUGCCUGUGGAUUUCAAGUGGCAUCAGGAGGCUCGUGUUACCUGAGAUCUGGAAAUACCUCUCUCAACCAACCCGUGAAGACUCCUACCUGCACUUCUGGUCUGACACAUGACCUUCCUGGCAAGGUAACAAGGAUUGGUUAGAGGUGGUAAGGGUUGGUUAAGGACUCAUAAUACUCUCUACUUUGAAAGAAAUAUUAUGGGCUUAGGGGAGACAAUGAUUAUAAAGUACUAACUCCCUGUCCCUGGAGAAUAGUGAGGGCUUCAUGAUCAUUAUCAUCAUUGUCUUGGGCCAGUGGACACAGAGCCACAGAGGCAAAAUGUCCUUCUUCCUGGACCAUGUGUUAAGUGGCCCUUGGACACCAGGAGAUACCUUAGCAUCAGGGCCUUACUGCCAUGCCAGGCAGGGCAGUCCAAGAGGGGCUAAACUGGAAAGGGACAUUCUGGAUGGCCUGAUGAAUUCUGAUUCAUCUUGUCUCCUUUAAAUUGCUCUUUGGGAAUUGGCCUGGGGCAAUGUGGGUUUUAGCCAGAAUACUGACUGUAGAAUCACAGACUCCCAGGUGGUGUUUCCUUCCUGUGUGCUUCCCCUAUUCCAUGUUUAUCACACUUGCCCAGGGCCAUCUGACUACCAUAGAGGAAUGACUAAAAGCAAGAGAAAUUAUAAAAUAUAUUGAAUUGAAUGAAAAUUAAAAUACAACAUAUGAACUUUGUGUGGUACGACUACAGCAGUGUUUAAAGGAACAUUUAUAGCAUUAAAUGCUUAUAUUAAAAAAGGAAAUUAGCAAUAUAUGCCUCUAGGGUGAGGCGUAUUUUCCUUAAAGAGAAAAAGAAAAAGAAGAAAAUUGAAUGUGAAGCGCACAGAGGGAAGAAAACAUUAAAGAUAAGAGCAGAAUUCCAUGAAAUAGAAAAUUGAAAAGCAAUAGGAAAAGUUAAUUGAGAAAAUCAAAGUUGUUCCUAUGAAAAUAUUAAUAUAAUUGACAAAUUUCUGAUCAAACUAACCAAGAAUACAAAUACCCAAUAUUAGGAAGGAAAGAGGGGACAUCACUACAGAGCCUAUAGAUAUUAAAAGGUAAUAAAGAAUAUUACAGUUUGGUUCGGGACCUAUAGCACAGUGGUUACAGAGCCAGCCACA